CCUACGGGAGGCAGCAGUGGGGAAUAUUGGGCAAUGGGCGCAAGCCUGACCCAGCAACGCCGCGUGAAGGAAGAAGGCCCUCGGGUUGUAAACUUCUUUUGUCAGGGACGAAACAAAUGACGGUACCUGACGAAUAAGCCACGGCUAACUACGUGCCAGCAGCCGCGGUAAUACGUAGGUGGCAAGCGUUAUCCGGAUUUACUGUGUGUAAAGGGCGUGGAGGCGGGAGAGCAAGUCAGAUGUGAAAUUCCAGGGCUCAACCCUGGUACUGCAUUUGAAACUGUUUUUCUUGAGUGAUGGAGAGGCAGGUGGAAUUACGUGUGUAGCGGUGAAAUGCGUAGAUAUACGGAGGAAAACCAGUGGCGAAGGCGGCCUGCUGGACAUUAACUGACGCUGAGGCGCGAAAGCGUGGGGAGCAAACAGGAUUAGAUACCCCGGUAGUC
rnacentral:rRNA from 1 species